rnacentral:rRNA from 1 species
CAGCCGCCGCGGUAAUACGAAGGGUGCAAGCGUUACUCGGAAUUACUGGGCGUAAAGCGUGCGUAGGUGGUGGUUUAAGUCCGCUGUGAAAGCCCUGGGCUCAACCUGGGAAUUGCAGUGGAUACUGGGUCACUAGAGUGUGGUAGAGGAUAGUGGAAUUUCCGGUGUAGCAGUGAAAUGCGUAGAGAUCGGAAGGAACAUCUGUGGCGAAGGCGACUAUCUGGGCCAACACUGACACUGAGGCACGAAAGCGUGGGGAGCAAACAGGAUUAGAUACCCGUGUAGUCCCUGUCUCUUAUAC